rnacentral:misc_RNA from 1 species
AAUAAACCUCGACCCCCCAAAGGCCUUCACUGUGCCGUGGUGGGUUGGACUUGGAUGCUGCCUUCCUACUUACGAAGGCUCGUCUCGAAACGUAUCAGCUGUUUCCUCGUACGCAGACAACGGUGUGAUAAGAAAACUCGCUAGCGUCUGUGUCACAUGGGGAUGGCUUCCAGUCGUCUUCGGACAAAAUACCCUAGA